UGCCCCAUGGCUGAGUUGGUUACAGCGUCCGACUGUUAAUAGCGGGGUCCGAACUCGCUGUCUAUAAUCGGAAGGUCGUGAGUUCGAGCCUCACUGGGGCAG
rnacentral:tRNA from 1 species